rnacentral:rRNA from 1 species
GACGAACGCUGGCGGCGUGCCUAAUACAUGCAAGUCGAACGCAGUGGGGACGGGUGAGUAACAUGUGGGUAACCUCCCAUCAGAGGAGAUCACACUUGGAAACAGGUGCUAAACCGAUCCUGAUGGAUGGACCCGCGGGGCAUUAGCUAGUAGGUGAGGUAACGGCUCACCAAGGCCACGAGGCAUAGACGACCUGAGAGGGUGGUUGACAACACUGGGACGGAGAAACGGCCCAGGCUCCUACGGGGUACAGCAGUAGGGAAUCUUCGGCAAUGGACGAAAGUCUGACCGAGCAACGCCGCGUGAGUGAAGAAGGUUUUCGGAUCAUAAAACUAUGUUGUGAGAGAAGCGGUAUCUAACCAGAAAGCCAGGGCUAACGACGGGCCAGCAGCCGCGGUAAUAC